UGCAGUCGANCGAUGAAGCCCUUCGGGGUGGAUUAGUGGCGAACGGGUGAGUAACACGUGGGCAAUCUGCCCUUCACUCUGGGACAAGCCCUGGAAACGGGGUCUAAUACCGGAUAACACUCUGUCCCGCAUGGGACGGGGUUAAAAGCUCCGGCGGUGAAGGAUGAGCCCGCGGCCUAUCAGCUUGUUGGUGGGGUGAUGGCCUACCAAGGCGACGACGGGUAGCCGGCCUGAGAGGGCGACCGGCCACACUGGGACUGAGACACGGCCCAGACUCCUACGGGAGGCAGCAGUGGGGAAUAUUGCACAAUGGGCGAAAGCCUGAUGCAGCGACGCCGCGUGAGGGAUGACGGCCUUCGGGUUGUAAACCUCUUUCAGCAGGGAAGAAGCGAGAGUGACGGUACCUGCAGAAGAAGCGCCGGCUAACUACGUGCCAGCAGCCGCGGUAAUACGUAGGGCGCAAGCGUUGUCCGGAAUUAUUGGGCGUAAAGAGCUCGUAGGCGGCUUGUUGCGUCGGUUGUGAAAGCCCGGGGCUUAACCCCGGGUCUGCAGUCGAUACGGGCAGGCUAGAGUGUGGUAGGGGAGAUCGGAAUUCCUGGUGUAGCGGUGAAAUGCGCAGAUAUCAGGAGGAACACCGGUGGCGAAGGCGGAUCUCUGGGCCAUUACUGACGCUGAGGAGCGAAAGCGUGGGGAGCGAACAGGAUUAGAUACCCUGGUAGUCCACGCCGUAANCGUUGGGAACUAGGUGUUGGCGACAUUCCACGUCGUCGGUGCCGCAGCUAACGCAUUAAGUUCCCCGCCUGGGGAGUACGGCCGCAAGGCUAAANCUCAAAGGAAUUGACGGGGGNCCCGCACAAGCAGCGGAAGCAUGUGGCUUUANUNCGACGCANCGNNNANNAACCUUACCAAGGNUUUGACAUNUNACCGGGAAAGCAUC
rnacentral:rRNA from 1 species